rnacentral:lncRNA from 1 species
GGAAAGGGGCGAAGGAAGCCCCUCCCGUUAGCAAAACGCCCUGGUUUCACUGUAAGGAUGUUAAUUAGCGGUAAUUAGCGCUAAUUAGGGCCGUACCUGGCGCUGCUGCGAGGGGGGGGCGGCGGAGGGGUCCCCCCCCCCCUCCGGGGUCAGGGCCUGGAGGCGGCGCUGGAGGCUGCGGCUGCGGGCGCUCAGCCGGGAGCGCUCGGCACUGGGCUCCACCAGGCCCUGGGGGGGCAGGGGGGGACCCCAAAAUCCCAUAAGGACCCUGGGGGCCUCCAGCACCCCAUAAUGACCCCAGGGUCCCCCAAUAUCCCAUAAUAUCCCUGGGGUCCCCAAUAUUCCACAGUGCCCCUGGGGUCCUCCCGAAUCCCAUAAUAUCCCUGGGGUCACCCCAAAAUUCACAGUGCCCUUGGGGUCCUCCCGCAUCCCAUAAUGCCCCCAGGGUCACCCCAAAAUCCCAUAAUGCCCCUGGGGUCCUCCACCAUCCCACAAUUCCUUUGGGGUCCUCCAGUAUCCCACAAUGCCCUGGGGUCACCCCAAAAUCCCACAAUGCCCCUGGGGUCCUCCACCAUCCCAUAAUGCCCCUGGGGUCCUCCAGCAUCCCACAAUUCCUUUGGGGUCCUCCCGCAUCCCACAAUCCCCCGGGGUCCCCCAGUAUCCCACAAUGCCCUGGGGCCCACCUGCAGGCAGAGGUAGACGUGGGUUCCGGGGCCGGCCGGGGCCCCCACCCAGCCGGGCCCCAGCUCUGGCUCCGCCCCCUGGGGGAGGAGCCUCAGAGGCCCCGCCUGCGCCAGGGCCUGGAGGGCGGGGCCGAGCUCCCGAAACGCCGCCCUCAUCUCCUCCGGGCACCGCACGGCCACUGCGCAAAGCAUGCUGGGAUAGCCCCGCCUCCAAGAUGGCCGCCCCACCAAUCACCUUCCUGCCCUCAGGAUAGCCCCGCCUCCAAGAUGGCCACCCCACCAAUCACCAUCAAGCCCCGCCUCCAAGAUGGCCGCCUCCACUGGGCGCCGCCAUCUUAG